AUCUUACCUUGCUAUGCGUGGGGGGAGGCUUGGUUGGCUUGACCGCUGUGGCUACGCGAGCGCAUGAGCUGUUUUGGACCCGUGUCUGCCGGUAGGCCCCCCGUCUUCGUGCGGCCGACUACCGGCGCCGUGUCCCGUCAUUCGUGUGGCUUAUGUUACUGUUGCCUUUCAAGUGCUUGCGUGCUGGUACCCGACCUACGGGAAGUGGUGCUUCGUACACGGUUGCCUCGCGGCGGACGCCUUCGGGUGUGCUGCCGYGGCCAAAUGGCGCGUGCGGCGUUGCCUCGUGGUGCUGGCAUGUUUGUGUGCCUGGUGCUAUCAAGGCAACCUCGCUCCCGCUGUUGGUUUCGGAUGUCGCUCACGAUAUAGGCUCAUGGCCCUUCUGGUUGCCUUGACCCGACCCUAGAGAUGCUCUCCUCGUUUGAGAACAACCGGAACAGGUGUUGCCUCUACCUCUCCACAGUUAGUGGUAGGAUACGCAACAUUCUGCGCCGAUCCUCGAACUAGUAGGACGAGCUUGGCCCGCUCAAUUGCGACAACCGGCCCGGMUGUUGCCUCUGCCUUGCCACGCAAGUGGACGGGCGAACAGCUACCGG
rnacentral:misc_RNA from 1 species